GUAUGUUAAGUGCCUUGUUUUACACCAGCUUGAGAGUUUGGCAGUUCUCGCGAGUGACAGUGGUCGCAAAUUGCAUUUGCGACCCGGACAUGUUUGACGCUGUCAAAUCCUAUGUGCUAGUAUACGGAUGCCCUCAGGCUGGAGGCCUUCAAAUACAAUUCCAUUGCGCAGAAAGAGAAGCAAACUUUUGCGGAGUUCGAGACUGAGUUGAGAACGCAAGUUCAAUAUUGCGAAUUUAGUUGCGCUACCUGUCAAACAUCCUACAGCGAUCGUAUGCUGCGAGAUAGAAUCAUCAUUGAGAUUCAGGAUAAGAAGCUGCAACUCAAACUUCUGGAUGGCAGAGACGACCCUUUAUCAAAGAUCAUCGAGUCAUGCAAGAUUUUCGAAGCCGCAUCCGAGAAUAAACAGCUACUGGAUCGGAAGAGUAAUUUUUUGGAAGUAAAGGUGGUUUCGAAGGAGCAAAUUGAUUCGAGUGCCAAGACCGUGGAUGCAGUAGCACGUAAUCGUCGCUAGAAUUGUGGAAGGCCGUACAAUCAAAAUCAUCGGAGGAAUUGCCCGGCAUCGACUGCUGUGUGCCAUUCGUGUGGAGAAAUUGGCCACUACAGCAAGUGUUGCCGCAAGAAGACAACGAAGCAGCCAGGAAGUCAUCAACAGUCAUCGAAGUCAACUGGAAGGAAUGAUAAAACGAUACAUACGGUGAACUGGAAUGACGCUGAGUGAAUUCCAAUUCCGUGUGUGGUCGCUUUGAUGAAUCCCGUCCGUGGAGAAAAGUUUUUCAUAUCGAUGGCGAAGCAGUUAAGUUCAAACUAGACACACGUUCUGAUGUUAAUUGUAUUCCCAUACAGAUUGUUAGGAAAUUGUGUCUUCCACUUGAUGAUGUCCGGAAUGCCAAGAUUCUUGAUUACAGUACGAAUGAAAUAAAAAUCCAUGGAAAGGUGAA